CAGCAGCCGCGGUAAUACGAAGGGUGCAAGCGUUACUCGGAAUUACUGGGCGUAAAGCGUGCGUAGGUGGUGGUUUAAGUCCGUUGUGAAAGCCCUGGGCUCAACCUGGGAAUUGCAGUGGAUACUGGGUCACUAGAGUGUGGUAGAGGAUAGUGGAAUUUCCGGUGUAGCAGUGAAAUGCGUAGAGAUCGGAAGGAACACCCGUGGCGAAGGCGACUAUCUGGGCCAACACUGACACUGAGGCACGAAAGCGUGGGGAGCAAACAGGAUUAGAUACCCUGGUAGUCCACGCCCUAAACGAUGCGAACUGGAUGUUGGGUUCAACUUGGAACCCAGUAUCGAAGCUAACGCGUUAAGUUCGCCGCCUGGGGAGUACGGUCGCAAGACUGAAACUCAAAGGAAUUGACGG
rnacentral:rRNA from 1 species